CACGUAGGGCGCAAGCGUUGUCCGGAAUUAUUGGGCGUAAAGAGCUCGUAGGCGGUCUGUUGCGUCUGCUGUGAAAACCCGGGGCUUAACCCCUGGCUUGCAGUGGAUACGGACAGACUAGAGGUAGGUAGGGGAGAAUGGAAUUCCCGGUGUAGCGGUGAAAUGCGCAGAUAUCAGGAGGAACACCGGUGGCGAAGGCGGUUCUCUGGGCCAGUACUGACGCUGAGGAGCGAAAGCGUGGGUAGCAAACAGG
rnacentral:rRNA from 1 species